GAUGAAGAACGUAGCGAAAUGCGAUAAGUAAUGUGAAUUGCAGAAUUCAGUGAAUCAUCGAAUCUUUGAACGCACAUUGCGCCCGCCAGUAUUCUGGCGGGCAUGCCUGUUCGUGCGUCAUUUCAACCAUCAAGCCCCCGGCUUGUGUUGGGGACCUGCGGCUGCCGCAGGCCCUGAAAACCAGUGGCGGGCUCGCUAGUCACUCCGAGCGUAGUAAUACAUCUCGCUCAGGGCGUGCUGCGGGUUCCGGCCGUUAAAAAGCCUUAUUUACCCAAGGUUGACCUCGGAUCAGGUAGGAAGACCCGCUGAACUUAAGCAUAUCAAUAAGCGGAGGA
rnacentral:misc_RNA from 1 species